AAAAAUGUGUAGAAAACAAAUGGUGUAUAGCGGCCGCAAGAUACAGAGGGGAGAUUUGGACCCCAGCGACCCUUUCCCCACUCGAUGAACUCGACCCCUUCUCUUUCUUUCAAUUCAAGAAGAACCUUCAAGUUUCGUCUAGAUUCAACUUUCAAGCAGUGCCGUCAAGGGAAAGGUAAACACGCUCAACAAAACCUAAUCAAAACGAUGGUGUUGUGCGAAACCUAAUUCAAACGACACUCAACCUUAUCAAAACAAAUGAUUCACGCACGUUAUCAAAUGAUGCUUGUGUUUCUCAUUGGGGAAAAGAUUCACGCCAUCGUAUCACCGCUGUUGUAUUGUUGUGCGUCUUCUUGCUAUGUGACCCCUUCGUGCUAUUCCCGUUAUCAAACGAUGCUCUGUUUCUCAUUGUGGAAAAUGAUUCACGCCUUCGUAUCACUGUAUCACCGCUGCUUGUAAUCUUGUUCAUAUUGUUGUGUUGAUGUGUUGCUCAUGUUUCUCGUGUUACUGCCGGUGUGAUUGGUAUCAUCUUUUUUCUACUUUUUCUGUAAGUGUGAUUAUUUUUAACAAACUCUAUGGCCAUUACUGUUAUACACUUAGUAAUUUCAUUAAGAUAGAUAUAAAUAGAUCCAUAUGCAAGACGUUAACAUGUUCAUAUAACACCGAGUUUUUCUCCAAGAGCAUUUUGCUGAUAUCUCAUUUAAUUAAAUUGUCAUUAAGAGUUUCACAUAAUAUUGUUGAAACCUUGGUUCAUGUGUGCUUUUAAAUCUCGUUGUUUAAUGUAUUGAACUUUUUUGUGGCUGUUAAGUUGAGUGACUGACUUAAUUUUCAAAAUAGUCGGGAGUGAAUAAGUUUUCCUAUUUCCUCUCUGAAGUUAUACACUAAACAUGCAUUUGAUGAUAUUAGAAGUUUGUAAAAUGAUUCCCUUCAUAUAUUUUCUCUCUGUGAUCUAAAUAAGUCGAUAGGUAAAUCAAUUUUAAUUUUUGAACUAGCAAUGGAAUGUUUGAAAUAGUCCAACUAAGGUGUCGGGUUGUCAUAAUAAUUAUUCAAUGAAAAUUUGAGAAAGGCUAUGAAAUUGACAGGGUUCUUAGUUGUAAGACGGAAUCUUAUACGGGGGAGGGACUAAUUUGUAAAUCAAAGUGGGUGGGAAAGUUAGUUGCAAGAAAAAGAAAAAAAAAUUAUGUUAUGGAGGGUUGAUUAGAGGGAGAGAAGUGGUUGUGUGUUUCCACUUCAGUUUCAACCUAUAGCUAGGGGCCAUGAAUUUUACUUAUUUGCUCUUAAUUCCAAUAUAUUUUUCUUCUAUGCA